rnacentral:rRNA from 1 species
UACGUAGGUGGCAAGCGUUGUCCGGAAUUAUUGGGCGUAAAGGGCGUGCAGGCGGUCUCAUAAGUCUGAUGUGAAAUCUCGCGGCUUAACCGCGAGCGGUCAUUGGAAACUGUGGGACUUGAGUCCAGAAGAGGAGAGUGGAAUUCCACGUGUAGCGGUGAAAUGCGUAGAGAUGUGGAGGAACACCAGUGGCGAAGGCGGCUCUCUGGUCUGGAACUGACGCUGAGGCGCGAAAGCGUGGGUAGCGAACAGG